ACCGGGCUGGAUAGCACGUGCCUAUAGUCCCAGCUAUUUAGGAGGCUGAGGCUGGAGGAUCUCUUGAGCCCAGGAGUUCUGGGCUACAGUGCGCUAUGCCAAUCAGGUGUCCACACUAGGUUCGGCAUCAAUAUGGUGACCUCUCGGGAGCAGGGGCCAUCAGGUUGCCUAAGGAGGGGUGAACCAGCCCAGGUCAGUAAUGGAGCAGGUCAAAACUCACGUGCUGAUUAGUAGUGGGAUCACACCUGUGAAUAGCCAUUGCCUCUUAUUUAAAAAAAAAAAGAAAAGAAAAAAAUUGGUCUGU
rnacentral:SRP_RNA from 1 species